UGUGAUAAUUUCUCUUACUAUUUCUCUUCUUUUAAGGGGAAACAGAUGCAAAAUCCUUCAAUUGUGAUAAGUUCUGCACUGCUAACAGCUGAGACCAACAUUAUCACUCUUAACCAGUUCUCCAUGACCUUUCUUCCUGAACCUUAAUGAUACCUGACCCUGUUGGAUCCGGAUCCAGGGAGAUACAAUUACCACGGGGAAGCUGCAACCUCCCACCUCCGCCUUGCCUCUGAUUCUCAUCUACACCUCGCAAAGAAAAACUGCAGCUAUUACCACCAUUCUAUAUUCCAGUGCCUUGUGUGUUACUGGUUGUGAACUGCUGCCAAAGACAUAAACUGGAACGAAUAUGAUGGAACUGAAUUUGACUGAGAUUAACUGAACUGAGGAAGCACAGAUACUAAGUUUUUAGUGCUGUUGGGGUCACAUGCAUUGGUCCAGUCCAAAACUGUUGAUUUUGUCUGUUUUGUGUGUUUCCCUAUGAUUGACUGGAAAUGGUGUAGCCUGUUUUUCUCUAACUUAAUAAAAGAGAGUUUAGUCAAGCAUGAACUGAACUGAAUGGAACUGAAUUCAAUUAGGCUAAACUAAGAAUUAACCUGAAUGAAAUGGAAAUAAAGAUGUAUGCAGAAAUGCA